rnacentral:rRNA from 1 species
GGAUUUCACCAGAAGUAGGUAGCUUAACCCUCGGGAGGGCGCCGACCACGGUGUGGUCAAUGACUGGGGUGAAGUCGUAACAAGGUAGCCGUAGGUGAACCUGCAGAAGGAUCA